rnacentral:rRNA from 1 species
UACGGGGGGGGCAAGCGUUGUUCGGAAUUACUGGGCGUAAAGGGCUUGUAGGUGGCCAACUAAGUCAGAUGUGAAAUCCCUCGGCUUAACCGGGGAACUGCGUCUGAUACUGGAUGGCUUGAGUGUGGGAGAGGGAUGCGGAAUUCCAGGUGUAGCGGUGAAAUGCGUAGAUAUCUGGAGGAACACCGGUGGCGAAGGCGGCAUCCUGGACCAUUACUGACACUGAAAAGCGAAAGCCAGGGGAGCAAACGGG